GUGUUUACAGCGCGUUUUUUAUGCAGAUGCACGGAGGCACGGAUGCGUCUAAAAGCCUGGCGUUAAAGAGUGUCCUACCGGAGCGGAACCGGGUGCUGAGCGGGACUUACCGUGUGUGUUGUGGCUCCCGUGUUUGGCUCCGGUGUGAGCGCGCGGCGGUACUGCGUCGCCAUUGCUCUUCCUUCUUCCUUCACAGACUAUGAUGGGAGCUGGAGCUGGAGCUCGUCCUGGCGUUUGCUGAGCGUUGACCUUCUGAGAGUGCCAGCGCGUCUCUUUAUACACAAACCAGGCAUUCCCGGCCCAUAUGAUCAGAUUCAAGAAUCCAAACACCUGCAAGUCAAGUGUGCAGAGCGCUAAAGUGGAUUCCAUGCCAGCGGUACUGGUGGCGUCCUUCACCGUCUGCAGUCCUCUGGCCCAUGCAGACGAACACACCAACCACAGGAACGCAAACACCGCUGUCAGCACAAAAUCCUAGCACACAGAGGCAGUACUCUCGAGUUAAAGCAGUAGUUCACUUCCAGAAUGAACAUUUCCUGAUCCUUUACUCAUCCUUUGCAAUCUUCAUUCUGAAAGAUAUUAAGAUUUUUGAGGAGAACAUGCAGGAUUUGUCUCUAUAUAGUGGACUUCUGGUGCUCUGUGGUUUGUGCUAAACAGAUAACAGUUUCAGUGCAGCUUAAAUGCCUCUAAAUGAUCCCAGCUGUGGAAUAAGAGUCUUUUCUAGUGAACCAAUCAGUCCAACCAGUUAAAAAUAAAUAAAAUAGAAAUAUAUAUAC
rnacentral:lncRNA from 1 species